AAGUGACUGAGAAAGGAGACACAGAAACACAACUUCUGGAAACAGAAGCUAAGCAUCAGUAAACCAGCUUGAAUGCCUGCAGAAGCAGAUACAAUACGUGAUGCUGUUUGUCACACCAGUCACGGAGAAGGACCCCAAGUCCCCAGUCACUAGAUUGGAACCACAUGGCUGUAUCCUAGCACACGGGAAUAUGAACUGACACAAUCAUCACAUCUGAUGAAGGUACACGACAGCCACUAUACCGCAGCCAUCUCUCUUUUCCCUUCCAUGGUGAUUUGGGAAGCUGUGUCAUCAGAGAACAACACCAUCGGAUUAAGGGAGUCUGGAUACCCAGCUGACUGCAAAGAAGAAAGCCAUAACUACUUCACACUUAACUCUUGUUAAAUGUUUCCAGAAGAAGAAGAGUAUCACUAAAUCAAAAACAAGCACCUUCUUUAAGCACCCAUGGAUGCCUUGGUCUCACAGGCUGGUGUCUCAUCUUGCAACAAUGUGGGCCACAAACUGACGGUGGGUUUUCACUUAUCAUUUACUAAGGAGUAAGAUAGUUCUG